GUACUUGCUUUGGUAGCACACACACUAAAAUUGGAAAAAUUCAGAGAAGAUUAAUUAGCACAGGCCCUGUACAAGGAUGACAUGCAAAUCUGUGAAGCUUUCCAUAUUUUU
ensembl:snRNA U6 U6 spliceosomal RNA